rnacentral:rRNA from 1 species
UUCCCUACACGACGCUCUUCCGAUCUGGCAGCCAGAGGCGAUGAAGGACGUUGUAGCUUGCGAUAAGCUUCGGGGAGGUAGCAAACAACCUUUGAUCCGAAGAUUUCCGAAUGGGGAAACCCGGCCAUUUUUAAUGGUCACCCUUUACUGAAUACAUAGGUAAUGUGGAGCGAACCUGGGGAACUGAAACAUCUAAGUACCCAGAGGAAAAGAAAUCAACCGAGAUUCCCUUAGUAGCGGCGAGCGAACGGGGACCAGCCCUUAAGCUCUAUUUGUGUUAGUGGAACAUACUGGAAAGUUUGGCCAUAGUGGGUGAUAGCCCCGUACACGAAAAUGCAUUUAGAGUGAAAUCGAGUAGAUCGGGACACGUGAUAUCCUGAUUGAACAUGGGGGGACCAUCCUCCAAGGCUAAAUACUACUUGUCGACCGAUAGUGAACCAGUACCGUGAGGGAAAGGCGAAAAGAACCCCUGUUAGGGGAGUGAAAUAGAUCCUGAAACCGUAUGCAUACAAGCAGUGGGAGCACCUUCGUGGUGUGACUGCGUACCUUUUGUAUAAUGGGUCAGCGACUUACUUUUAGUGGCAAGCUUAACCGUUAGGGGAGGCGUAGGGAAACCGAGUCUUAAUAGGGCGAAUUAGUCGCUAGGAGUAGACCCGAAACCGGGCGAUCUAUCCAUGGCCAGGGUGAAGGUGGGGUAAUACCUACUGGAGGCCCGAACCCACUUAUGUUGAAAAAUGAGGGGAUGAGCUGUGGAUCGGAGUGAAAGGCUAAACAAGCCCGGAGAUAGCUGGUUCUCCUCGAAAUCUAUUUAGGUAGAGCCUCGCAUAUCACUGUUGGGGGUAGAGCACUGUUACGGCUAGGGGCUCAUCCCGACUUACCAACCCGUUGCAAACUCCGAAUACCAACAAGUGCAAUUGCGGGAGACACACGGCGGGUGAUAAGGUCCGUUGUGGAAAGGGAAACAGCCCAGACCGUCAGCUAAGGUCCCAAAAUGAUACUCAGUGGAAAACGAUGUGAAAAGGCACAGACAGCCAGGAGGUUGGCUUAGAAGCAGCCAUCCUUUAAAGAAAGCGUAAUAGCUCACUGGUCGAGUCGGUCUGCGCGGAAGAUGUAACGGGGCUAAACUAUGCACCGAAGCUGCGGAUUCAUACUUUGUAUGAGUGGUAGGGGAGCGUUCUGUAAGCGGUUGAAGGUGUACCGGGAGGUAUGCUGGACGUAUCAGAAGUGCGAAUGCUGACAUGAGUAACGAUAAUGCGGGUGAAAAACCCGCACGCCGGAAGACCAAGGGUUCCUAUCCCAUGUUAAUCAGGGUAGGGUAAGUCGACCCCUAAGGCGAGGCCGAAAGGCGUAGUCGAUGGGAAACGGAUUAAUAUUUCCGUACUUGGUAUAAUUGCGAUGGGGGGACGGAGAAGGCUAAGCAAGCAUGGCGAUGGUUGUCCAUGUGAAAGUGAGUAGGGCGUUUGUUUAGGUAAAUCCGGACGAACAUUAAACCUGAGACACGAGACGAGCUACUACGGUAGUGAAGUUGCUGAUGCCAUACUUCCAGGAAAAGCCUCUAAGCUUCAGAUUAUACCGAAUCGUACCCCAAACCGACACAGGUGGUCAGGUAGAGAAUACUAAGGCGCUUGAGAGAACUCGGGUGAAGGAACUAGGCAAAAUCGUACCGUAACUUCGGGAGAAGGUACGCUCCUAUCUGUGAUGAGACUUGCUCUCUAAGCGGACGGGAGCCGCAGUGACCAGGUGGCUGGGACUGUUUAUUAAAAACACAGCACUGUGCAAAAUCGCAAGAUGACGUAUACGGUGUGACACCUGCCCGGUGCCGGAAGGUUAAUUGAUGGGGUUAGCGCAAGCGAAGCUCUUGAUCGAAGCCCCGGUAAACGGCGGCCGUAACAAUAACGGUCCUAAGGUAGCGAAAUUCCUUGUCGGGUAAGUUCCGACCUGCACGAA